AGUGAACGCUGGCGGCGUGCUUAACACAUGCAAGUCGAACGAGAACGGAUUAUAGCUUGCUAUAAUUGUCAGCUAAGUGGCGCACGGGUGAGUAAUGUAUAGGUAAUAUGCCUCUUACUAAGGGAUAACAAAUGGAAACGUUUGCUAAUACCUUAUACUCCUUAUUAACAUAAGUUAAUAAGGGAAAGAUUUAUUGGUAAGGGAUUAGCCUGUAUUGUAUCAGUUAGUUGGUGGUGUAAUGGCUUACCAAGACUAUGAAACAUAACUGGUUUGAGAGGAUGAUCAGUCACACUGGAACUGAGACACGGUCCAGACUCCUACGGGAGGCAGCAGUGGGGAAUAUUGCUCAAUGGACGAAAGUCUGAUGCAGCAACGCCGCGUGGAGGAUGACACAUUUCGGUGCGUAAACUCCUUUUAUAUGAGAAGAUAAUGACGGUAUUAUAUGAAUAAGCACCGGCUAACUCCGUGCCAGCAGCCGCCGUAA
rnacentral:rRNA from 1 species